GGCCCACGUGACUGACCCUCGCCCCGCCCCGAAGCCGGGCUCCAGCUUGUGGGCGGUAGUGCGCCUGCGCUUGACGCCCCGCGCGGGGUCUGGGUCUCCGCCUGAGGGCCCCGGAGCAGUGCGCGUAUCCCGGGAGCGGAUCUUGAUGCUAGCUCUGUGUGCAGUGUAAUUUUAUUAAGAGUCCCGCCCCCUCCAUACGGGAGGAAACGUGUGUCCCUGGGGCCCUCAGCCAAGCCUCCACUAUCUUUUUGGCCCAGACGGAUUUCCCAGGUCACAAGUGGCUGGAGACUUCCUCUUGAAAAACAUUUGCCGUCGUUUUUCCCUGGCAGAGCCCCUUUGACCCUGGCUAACAAGGACAGCCUGACUUGGAUCCCACUAUGCAGGAAGGAAGGCGACUCUUCCCCGCACCUCUUGCUACGAUUAGGACUUGCGACUUGGUGAAAACAGGAAUCAAAACUUGGGCCUAUUUCUCCUGAGGUCUGCUUGCCUAGAACAAUUCGUAACGAUGAAUCUUAUUAAAAAGAGAAAGUCCUCCCCGACUUUAUCUUUUUCCGCCCAGAAUCCGAUAAGGAAGACUUGUUCUGGCCCCCUCAGCUCUCUGACCUCACCUACCAGAGGAGAGAGUGGGAUCCUCUAACACUCGAGCCGUCAUCCCAGCACUAGGGGACAGUGACCAGUGUGGCUCCCGUGGCCAGAACCCUUCUGAAGUUUGGGUUGCCCUGUGGUCUUCGCCUUCAAAGCAGGCCGCCACUUGAAUCCUUCUGGAACGGACAGUGUUGCUGUAAACGCCGCGGAAUAGUAUCUUCUAAGUAUUCGUAGCUUCUUUCUUGAGGGAUCUCGGGAACGUUCCGUGUAUUAACCACUAACGUAUUCCAAAGUUAACUUCGUGGUAAAGUCGCUGGGGAAAAAAAUAACUGCUCCAGUUCCACAGGUGAUUGAAACAAAAGUGAUCUGUUUCCCAAACUUCCUUGAUGGUAAAGAAUGACUUGGGGUACUAAUUAAAAAUAAAAAUAAUUGCGUCAUUUCCAACCUACUAAAUCGGAGUCUUUAAGGGCAGGUCCUGGGAAGCCAUCCAUGUAAUGGGGGUCCUAAGUGGGCUCUUAUCGGCGAGGGCGGGGACUCAGCGAGAGGGCUGGCAGCGACGGGACAAACCCCAGACGGCUGCGCGGAUGCGUUUGUUCCUGGAGCUUGCGAGCACUUGCAAUGCAUGGACACCUCCACAGGGUGGUGGCCUGCCACCACGAGAGCACCAGCUCCGCCAGCGUCCUCUCCAGAGGACACUUUAGAGCAGAAAGAAACGGACAGUUCAGUCUUCCCCUCAGCUUGAAGGCAGCAUUCUUUUGCUUCUCUUUGAGUCAGGUAAUUGUUUUGUCUUCCUUCCACUCAGUCAGCAGGUAUUAAACAGCAACCGCAUUGCCAAGCACUGUGGUGGGGGCUGUGGCUUAUGCUUUCCGGAGCAGAACAUAGUUGUUGCUACCUUGGGGAUGGGGGCGGGAGGAAUAGAAAAAAUGCGGAGUUAGCGGAGUAUCAGGGAACAAGGGUGGAACAGAUAUAAUAAUUGCAGUACAGUUAGUUAGGGCCUAUUGAAGGAGCACAAACGAAGCGUAAACUUGUCUGGGAACUAGUGGAAGGUGUCCCCCAGGGGAUGUUAAAGAGCUAAUUCUAGAAUUAAUUCAGUGGGGAAAGAAAAGGAGAGGGAGAUGCCAGGCAGAGGGAGCAGCAUGCCUGAUUGUCUGGAGGUGAUCAGAGGGCCUGGCUGAUUGAAGAUGAACAGGAAUUGUGUAGUCUGUGUUCAUUCAUUCAUUUAUUCAUUCCACAACUAUGGAUUUAAAAACGGUUAGUCAACCAAUGUGGAAAAAUAGCAUCUCGAUAAAAUGUUCUUCAAAUGUCCACCUAGUAUUUUGAUACUCAGUUUUCAUGACUGGACCCACCAUCAAAGGCCUCUGACUCUGAUAUUUCUAUCCUUUGGACCCUAUGGGAGAUCUUUGCCUCCAUGUGAUAAUCUCCUUCUCACGUUUUUACUAAAAGUUUGGAGACUUGAAUUCUGCUCCAAAUAGAGUGAAACAGGGUCUUGCUCUAUUGCCCAGGCUGGAGUGCUGUGUUCUAUCACAGCUCACUGCAGCCUCCAUCUCCCAGGCUCAAGCCA
rnacentral:lncRNA from 1 species